rnacentral:rRNA from 1 species
GACGAACGCUGGCGGCGUGCCUAACACAUGCAAGUCGAACGAAACGGCCCUGCUUUGUUGCGCUGCUGUGGUGGCGAACGGGUAAGUUACCCGUGAGUACCCUACCCUUGCCUUUGGGGUAUCUUCAGACAACUGGGGCUAUUACCGGCUAGGAUCUCCCGCUGCUUGGUGGGGGUUGGAAAGUUUCGGCGGUUGGGAAUGGACUCGCGGCUUAUCAGCUUGUUGGUGGGGUAGUGGAUUACCAAGGCUUUGACGGGUGGCCGGGCUGAGAGGGUGACCGGCCACACUGCGCCUGAGCUAAGGCACAGACUCGACUGGGACGCAACGGUGGAGAGUAUUAUACAAUGGGAGGAAGCCUGGCGUAGCAACGCCGUGUGCGGGAUGACGGCCUUGCGGUAGUAAACCGCAUCCGCCUGUGACGAAGCGUGAGUGACGGUAACGGGUGAAGAAGCACCGGCUAACUACGUG